CCUACGGGAGGCUGCAGUAGGGAAUAUUGCUCAAUGGGGGAAACCCUGAUGCAGCAACGCCGCGUGAAGGAUGAAGGUUUUCGGAUUGUAAACCCCUUUUGUUAGAGAAGAUAAUGACGGUAUCUAACGAAUAAGCACCGGCUAACUCCGUGCCAGCAGCCGCGGUAAGACGGAGGGUGCAAGCGUUACUCGGAAUCACUGGGCGUAAAGAGCGCGUAGGCGGGAUAGCAAGUCAGAUGUGAAAUCCUAUGGCUUAACCAUAGAACUGCAUUUGAAACUGUAAUUCUAGAGUAUGGGAGAGGUAGGUGGAAUUCUUGGUGUAGGGGUAAAAUGCGUAGAUAUCAAGAGGAAUACUAGUGGCGAAGGCGGCCUUCUAGAACGUAACUGACGCUGAUGCGCGAAAGCGUGGGGAGCAAACAGGAUUAGAUACCCGAGUAGUC
rnacentral:rRNA from 1 species